rnacentral:rRNA from 1 species
ACUCCUGCGGGAGGCAGCAGUGGGGAAUUUUGGACAAUGGGCGAAAGCCUGAUCCAGCAAUGCCGCGUGAGUGAAGAAGGCCUUCGGGUUGUAAAGCUCUUUUGUCAGGGAAGAAACGGUGAAAGCUAAUAUCUUUUGCUAAUGACGGUACCUGAAGAAUAAGCACCGGCUAACUACGUGCCAGCAGCCGCGGUAAUACGUAGGGUGCAAGCGUUAAUCGGAAUUACUGGGCGUAAAGCGUGCGCAGGCGGUUUUGUAAGUCUGAUGUGAAAUCCCCGGGCUCAACCUGGGAAUUGCAUUGGAGACUGCAAGGCUAGAAUCUGGCAGAGGGGGGUAGAAUUCCACGUGUAGCAGUGAAAUGCGUAGAUAUGUGGAGGAACACCGAUGGCGAAGGCAGCCCCCUGGGUCAAGAUUGACGCUCAUGCACGAAAGCGUGGGGAGCAAACAGGAUUAGAUACCCCUGUAGUCCCA